rnacentral:rRNA from 1 species
GACGAACGCUGGCGGCGUGCUUAACACAUGCAAGUCGAACGGAAAGGCCCUGCUUUUGUGGGGUGCUCGAGUGGCGAACGGGUGAGUAACACGUGAGUAACCUGCCCUUGACUUUGGGAUAACUUCAGGAAACUGGGGCUAAUACCGGAUAGGAGCUCCUGCUGCAUGGGGGGGGUGGGAAAGUUUCGGCGGUUGGGGAUGGACUCGCGGCUAAUCAGCUGUUUGGUGGGGUAGUGGCUUACCAAGGCUUGGACGGGUAGCCGGCCUGAGAGGGUGACCGGCCACAUUGGGACUGAGAUACGGCCCAGACUCCUACGGGAGGCAGCAGUGGGGAAUAUUGCACAAUGGGCGGAAGCCUGAUGCAGCAACGCCGCGUGCGGGAUGACGGCCUUCGGGUUGUAAACCGCUUUCGCCUGUGACGAAGCGUGAGUGACGGUAAUGGGUAAAGAAGCACCGGCUAACUACGUG